UUGACCUCAAAUCAGGA
rnacentral:rRNA from 1 species